UACGUAGGUGGCGAGCGUUGUCCGGAUUUACUGGGCGUAAAGAGCGCGCAGGCGGCUGGGCAAGUCCGAUGUGAAAGCUUCCGGCUUAACUGGAAAAUUGCAUCGGAAACUGCUCGGCUUGAAGGUGGGAGAGGGUAGCGGAAUUCCCGGUGUAGUGGUGAAAUGCGUGAGAUAUCAGGAGGAACACCAGUGGCGAAGGCGGCUUCCUGGACCGACACUGACGCUGAGGCGCGAAAAGCGUGGGGAGCGAACAGG
rnacentral:rRNA from 1 species